GAUCAUGGCUCAGAGUGAACGCUGGCGGCAGGCCUAAUACAUGCAAGUCGAACGGCAGCACAGUGGAGCUUGCUCCAUGGGUGGCGAGUGGCGGACGGGUGAGGAAUACAUGGGAAUCUGCCCAGUCGUGGGGGAUAACGUAUGGAAACGUACGCUAAUACCGCAUGCGCCCUUCGGGGGAAAGUCGGGGACCGCAAGGCCUGACGCGAUUGGAUGAGCCCAUGUUCGAUUAGCUAGUUGGCGGGGUAACGGCCCACCAAGGCGACGAUCGAUAGCUGGUCUGAGGGGAUGAUCAGCCACACUGAAACUGAGACACGGUCCAGACUCCUACGGGAGGCAGCAGUAGGGAAUAUUGGACAAUGGGCGCAAGCCUGAUCCAGCCAUGCCGCGUGAGUGAAGAAGGCCCUCGGGUUGUAAAGCUCUUUUGUUGGGGAAGAAAAGCAGUUGGUUAAUACCCGAUUGUUCUGACGGUACCCAAAGAAUAAGCACCGGCUAACUUCGUG
rnacentral:rRNA from 1 species